rnacentral:rRNA from 1 species
GACGAACGCUGGCGGCGUGCUUAACACAUGCAAGUCGAACGGAAAGGCCCUGCUUUUGUGGGGUUCUCGAGUGGCGAACGGGUGAGUAACACGUGAGUAACCUGCCCUUGACUUUGGGAUAACUUCAGGAAACUGGGGCUAAUACCGGAUAGGAGCUCCUGCUGCAUGGUGGGGGUUGGAAAGUUUCGGCGGUUGGGGAUGGACUCGCGGCUUAUCAGCUUGUUGGUGGGGUAGUGGCUGACCAAGGCUUUGACGGGUAGCCGGCCUGAGAGGGUGACCGGCCACAUUGGGACUGAGAUACGGCCCAGACUGCUACGGGAGGCAGCAGUGGGGAAUAUUGCACAAUGGGCGGAAGUCUGAUGCAGAGACGCCGCGUGCGGGAUGACGGCCUGCGGGUUGUAAACCGCUUUAGCCUGUGACGAAGCGGGAGUGACGGUAAUGGGUAAAGAAGCACCGGCUAACUACGUG